GGGACCGGUUGCAGCCUUAGCUAAAUGGUAAACAACAAACAUAGCAACACACCGGUAAGGUACCUGAUGGAUGGCAAGUGAUUUUGGAUGUCUGAUGACUCCGUGAACUAUGCGUACUGGUAGACACAGUCCAUCUGGCAACUCACCAGUCCCUGUGGUGGCAUCGACACCAGUGGCCACUUUCGCUGGAGGGAUCUUCCAUGUGGAGAUCCCCUUUACUUCAUCUGUUUGGCAGGCACUCAAGCAUACGAAAAAAGUGUGGGCUUCUGGAGUAGUACCAGACAAUAAAUACAUCGAAUACCAUGAAGAGAAACUCAGG